AAUUAACUGACGAGUCUCAAAAAGGGACGAAUCGCGCGUCCUGAGU
rnacentral:hammerhead_ribozyme from 1 species